rnacentral:lncRNA from 1 species
UGGUAUUUUCAGUGAUAUGCACAGUGCUUAUAUAUUUGUGUAUGCACUGUCCCUGAAAAUUUUAUUCUUCAUAUUCUUAAUCUGUUUCUCAUUAUUGGCUCUUUUCUGCAUUGUGCUUUUGUUUGUUUCAAUAUUCACAAAAAUGAAAAUUAAAUAUCUUUAAAGCACCAGAAGUGACAGCGAGAACUGUCCCAGAGGAGAAAGUGACUCUUGAAACACCUAAAAAGCCAGAAUUCAAAAAACCAGAGCCUCCUCCAACCAAAGUGCUUGAGGCCCCCAAGAAAGUUGCCUCUGAGGAGGAAGUACCUGUUGCUCUUCCUAAAAUACCUGAACCUCUACCAAGUGAAGGUAUUAUUGUAAAGGCAGUCCUUUUAACUGUUAUUCCAAAUGUAUGCUUUAAAAAAAAAAAAAAUUGUUCUUUGUUCCCCAUUCUAGUUCUUGUAAUUUGUUCACUUCACAUUUUAGAUUAUACCAAUUUGUGUUUUUUGUCUCUUUUAUUACAGUUCGUUAUGAGAGAGUAAAAUAUUACUUUAAAUAUUUUCACAUGGUCCUAUGUUGGGUAUUCUUAAGAGUAUAUUUUAUCAUUCAAUUUUAGGCAAUAAUCAAUUCUCACUAAAUUCACAUUUCGUAAGACCUAGUAUUUCUAUUGCUGUAAUCUUAAAUUAACUGAGAACAUUCAAGCUUUUAUUUUCUCCAGUUGUAAAUACUCAUCCAAAUUUUAUUUCGUUUAUAUUGUAUGCAGAAAAAAUACUAUCCUCCACAUAACCCUGAAUUAUACUUGCAGAUAAAGCAGUUUUCUCAAAGAAUGCAUUAACUGCAAAAUUAGCAGUAUGAGCUGAUACUGAGUGAUUAUGUAUCCUAACAUGUAUUUGUCUGUGUGUAUUGGAGUAGCCUGCUUUUUAUUGGUGUGUGCAAUGAUCUUAUCAUUGGAAACUUACACCAGUUAUCAAUGUUCUUUAAAGAAUAUGAAAUUGAAAAGGAAAGUGAAGUUGAAGAAACAGAAGAAAUUUCAGUAACAGAAGUAGAAGAAACUUUACCUGUUGAAGGUAUAUAGAUUACCUAGAGGCUAUCAGACAGUUUCCUCUUUCAUUACUGCUCAGAUUUUCUUGCUCUGUUUUUCUCCACAAAUAUACCUGUGUGCUGUCAGUCUCCAUGUAUUUCCUUCCCUGUUAAAUGUUGCAAACGAGUUCAGAUCUCUUAAUUCUUCUAAGUAUAAUAUGCAAAAUAUUUUAAGUGCUUUCACUUUGUUUCCUGUCAACCGGAUUCUUCUUAUCAUUUGCUUUCCCAUCUUUGUCCUCAUGUUAUUAACAUGUUUUUUUAAGUGAGCUUGAAUGUUUGUAUUUUGUGUAAGCUACAGAGCAAUAGCCUAAAACUCUUACUCCCAUUUGAUCAAUGAGAUUUUUUUCAUUAACUUCAUUGGAAAUGGAAAAUGAUCGUCUUUAUGUUCGCACUCUUCACGUCUACUGUGGUAGUAC